GGGAAUCUAUGUCGGAGAGGUGAAUCCUAACAGCAUCGCUGCAAGGAUGGGCGCAUCCGAGAGGGCGACCGCAUCGUCCGGAUAACGGGGUGCAGGUGCAGGACGCGAGGAAGCUGUCGCCAUCCUGACCCAGGAGAACAAACGAACAUCUCGCUGCUGCUGGCCAGGCCUGAGACCGAGAUCUCCAGGCGGGAAGGACAGCGACCGCGAGGAUUUCCUGGAUGACUUGGCUCUGCCACGAGGGCGAAAUGAGAC